CUUUCUAUUGGAACAGCAGUUUAGGCCAGUGAUAGAGGGUUUGAGUCUAAGUCAGCUGAGGCACUCGGCUGUGCCUGGGUUUAUGGCAGUCUAGCAUAAAAGAGUGGAAGAUGGGACUUUGCUUGCCUUCGGAAGGCCUAAGCUAACCUUCGUUCUGCAUCAAUACCAAUUCUGGGUAGAAUUUCUGUAAUACAGUUCUCCCACUUUGUAUGCUAAGGUUUUGAGAGUUUGAUCACUCAUUUCUUUUGUUACAGAUAGGCAGCCACAGUUGCAGAGUUGUAUUUUUCACAUCAUGCUGCUUAUUGUUUGUUCUUAUUUGAACAAGCAAUCAUUUUCACUUAACCUCUUAGAUCUAGUUAUACUUUAUAUUGCUAUGCACUAAACCAUUUGCUUACUGUUCAUAUAAUAUAAUAAAGGUAUAGUUUUCCAUUGUGAUUACAUUGUCAAAUAUUUGAGUAACAUUUCUUUUGCAAUAUUAGCUAUGUACAAUUUUAUACCACUUAAUAAAGAAAAAGACAAA